AUUGAACGCUGGCGACAGGCCUAACACAUGCAAGUCGAGCGAGUGGCGGACGGGUGAGUAAUGUCUGGGGAACUGCCUGAUGGAGGGGGAUAACUACUGGAAACGGUGGCUAAUACCGCAUACUAUCGGAUGUACCCAUAGGGGAUUAGCUAGUUGGUGGGGUAAAGGCUCACCUAGGCGACGAUCUCUAGCUGGUCGGAGAGGAUGAACAGCCACACGGGAACUGAGACACGGCCCAGAUUCCUACGUGAGGCAGCAGUGGGGAAUAUGGCACAAGGGGGGCAAGCCGGAUGCAGCCAUGCCGCGUGUAUGAAGAAGGCCUUCGGGUUUUAAAGUACUUUCAGCGGGGAGGCGUUACCCGCAGAAGAAGCACCGGCUAACUCCGUGCCAGCAGCCGCGGUAAUAC
rnacentral:rRNA from 1 species